rnacentral:sRNA from 1 species
ACGUGAUUCCACGCCACCUGCUCACGCCGUUUUCUUCUCAGACAACAAUGGAGUUCUAUUAGUUUCAACUAGUUACAUAUAUAUAGAGUUCAAUCAAUGUUGUUACAAGUUUACAGUGGCUCCAUCGUUGAAGGCUUAAUUACAGCUGCAGGGAAUCGUCGGUUCGACACUAGGUUGUGUCCGAUUUUCUUCUUAACUUUAAUUUUUAAAACGACGUCGUUUUGAACUGUUAACGGAAAGUUGACUCCGUUAUUUUUCUGUUAACGGAAAUUUCACGGCAUGCCUUAAAUGACCAAGUCAACGAAACUUAGACAUUUUUUAAGAAGUUAACUCAAACUUUGAGGUUUAAAUGACAUUUCGAAAGUUCAUGCUUUUUUCGUCCCAAAUUUGAAAGUUUGCGCAUUUUCCGACAUUUUUCCCAUUAUUACGUAACUAUAAAUUUUAGCAU